AACCCGGGGAACUGAAACAUCUAAGUACCCGGAGGAAGAGAAAGAAAAAUCGAUUUCCUAAGUAGCGGCGAGCGAACGGGAAAGAGCCCAAACCAGAAACUUGUUUCUGGGGUUGCGGAUAGAUCAUAAAAGAAGAGGUAUCUUAAUCGAAGAGGGCUGGAACGCCCUACCAUAGAAGGUAAUAGUCCUGUAGAUAAAAAGAGAAAACUUUAAGAUCUAAUCCAGAGUACCACGAGACACGUGAAACCUUGUGGG
rnacentral:rRNA from 1 species